GCCGCGGUGGUGGAAUUUGGUAGACACGGGGGAUUUAAGAUCCUCUGGGCUUUGCCUGUGUGGGUUCGAGUCCCACCCGCGGCA
rnacentral:tRNA from 1 species